GGUAACAGGUUAAGCUGACAAGUGGCGAACGGGUGAGUAAUGUAUCGAAACGUGCCCAUCCUUGGGGGAUAACUGCUCGAAAGAGCAGCUAAUACCGCAUACGACCUGAGGGGGAAAGCGGGGGAUCGCAAGACCUCGCGCGAUUGGAGCGGCCAAUAUCAAAUUAGGUAGUUGGGGGGGUAAAGGCCUACCAAGCCGACAAUCUGUAGCUGGUCUGAAAGGGCGACCAGCCACACUGGGACUGAAACACGGCCCAAACUCCUACGGGAGGCAGCAGGGGGGAAUUUUGGACAAUGGGGGCAACCCUGAUCCAGCCAUGCCGCGGGAGUGAAAAAGGCCUUCGGGUUGUAAAGCUCUUUCGGCCGGAAAAAAAUCGCAUCACCUAAUACCUGGUGUGGAUGACGGUACCGGAAUAAAAAGCACCGGCUAACUACGUG
rnacentral:rRNA from 1 species